rnacentral:rRNA from 1 species
UACGUAGGGGGCAAGCGUUGUCCGGAAUUACUGGGCGUAAAGCGCAUGUAGGCGGUUAUUUAAGUCUGUGUUGAAAACCCGAGGCUCAACCACGGGAUUGGCAUGGAAACUGGAUAACUUGAGGGAUGGAGAGGGCAGUGGAAUUCCUAGUGUAGCGGUGAAAUGCGUAGAUAUUAGGAGGAACACCAGUGGCGAAGGCGACUGCCUGGACAUUACCUGACGCUGAGAUGCGAAAGCGUGGGGAG